GGUUAAGCGACUAAGCGUACACGGUGGAUGCCCUGGCAGUCAGAGGCGAUGAAGGACGUGCUAAUCUGCGAUAAGCGUCGGUAAGGUGAUAUGAACCGUUAUAACCGGCGAUUUCCGAAUGGGGAAACCCAGUGUGUUUCGACACACUAUCAUUAACUGAAUCCAUAGGUUAAUGAGGCGAACCGGGGGAACUGAAACAUCUAAGUACCCCGAGGAAAAGAAAUCAACCGAGAUUCCCCCAGUAGCGGCGAGCGAACGGGGAGGAGCCCAGAGCCUGAAUCAGUGUGUGUGUUAGUGGAAGCGUCUGGAAAGGCGCGCGAUACAGGGUGACAGCCCCGUACACAAAAAUGCACAUGCUGUGAGCUCGAUGAGUAGGGCGGGACACGUGGUAUCCUGUCUGAAUAUGGGGGGACCAUCCUCCAAGGCUAAAUACUCCUGACUGACCGAUAGUGAACCAGUACCGUGAGGGAAAGGCGAAAAGAACCCCGGCGAGGGGAGUGAAAAAGAACCUGAAACCGUGUACGUACAAGCAGUGGGAGCAUGCUUAGGCGUGUGACUGCGUACCUUUUGUAUAAUGGGUCAGCGACUUAUAUUCUGUAGCAAGGUUAACCGAAUAGGGGAGCCGAAGGGAAACCGAGUCUUAACUGGGCGUUAAGUUGCAGGGUAUAGACCCGAAACCCGGUGAUCUAGCCAUGGGCAGGUUGAAGGUUGGGUAACACUAACUGGAGGACCGAACCGACUAAUGUUGAAAAAUUAGCGGAUGACUUGUGGCUGGGGGUGAAAGGCCAAUCAAACCGGGAGAUAGCUGGUUCUCCCCGAAAGCUAUUUAGGUAGCGCCUCGUGAACUCAUCUCCGGGGGUAGAGCACUGUUUCGGCAAGGGGGUCAUCCCGACUUACCAACCCGAUGCAAACUGCGAAUACCGGAGAAUGUUAUCACGGGAGACACACGGCGGGUGCUAACGUCCGUCGUGAAGAGGGAAACAACCCAGACCGCCAGCUAAGGUCCCAAAGUCAUGGUUAAGUGGGAAACGAUGUGGGAAGGCCCAGACAGCCAGGAUGUUGGCUUAGAAGCAGCCAUCAUUUAAAGAAAGCGUAAUAGCUCACUGGUCGAGUCGGCCUGCGCGGAAGAUGUAACGGGGCUAAACCAUGCACCGAAGCUGCGGCAGCGACGCUUAUGCGUUGUUGGGUAGGGGAGCGUUCUGUAAGCCUGUGAAGGUGUACUGUGAGG
rnacentral:rRNA from 1 species